rnacentral:rRNA from 1 species
GUACACGCUGUGACUAGCAUAUCAAUAAGCGGAGGAAAAGAGGGCUAUUACCUACGCUUAGGAUGUUGACGCGCGUGUGUGCGUGAGUCUAUACAUGACUCUGCGCAUAUCAAUAAGCGGAGGAAAAGGCUGCGGAACUGAACGACCGCUACCUACGCUUAGGAUGUUGACGAGACUGUCGAUCUCAUCUAUACAUGACCCUGUGCAUAUCAAUAAGCGGAGGAAAAGAAACUAACAAGGAUUCCCCUAGUAACGGCGAGUGAAGCGGGAAGAGCUCAAAUUUGAAAUCUUAAAGGGUUUCCCUUUACGAAUUGUAGUUUAAAGAAGUGUUUUCUGUUGAGGUUUUGGUAAAAGUUCUUUGGAAUAGGACAUCAUAGAGGGUGAGAAUCCCGUAUUUGACCUUUACUUUCAACUUUGUGAUACACCUUCAAAGAGUCGGAUUGUUUGGGAAUGCAGUCCAAAAUGGGUGGUAAAUUUCAUCUAAAGCUAAAUAUUGGCGAGAGACCGAUAGCGAACAAGUACCGUGAGGGAAAGAUGAAAGGAACUUUGAAAAGAGAGUUAAACAGUACGUGAAAUUGUCAAAAGGGAAGCGUUUGACACCAGUGUUGUUUUUCUGAAAAUCAAUUAAAGAACUGUUUAUGCUAAGCUGUUUAGACUUUAUCAGCUAACUGUUUAGUUUUGAGCUUUUCUUUAAUGCACUUUUCAGUUAACAAGUCAACAUCAAUUUCUUUUGCUGUAAAAAAGCUUGAGGAAGGUGGCUUGAGAUUCGUCUUAAGUGUUUAUAGCCUCUUGCCUAUGCAGUCGGAGAGAUUGAGGUCUGCAGCGUAGAUCCUUCGGGGCUAAAUGCAUUUGUGCUAAGUUAUAGCAUUUUAUAGACAACUUGUUGACUAUGAUUUGUCUUGUAGCUUACUCGCUUAUGUUAUUUUACCUACGCUUAGGAUGUUGAGUCGUAGAGCACGCA